rnacentral:rRNA from 1 species
UACGUAGGGGGCUAGCGUUGUCCGGAAUCAUUGGGCGUAAAGCGCGUGUAGGCGGCCCGGUAAGUCCGCUGUGAAAGUCGGGGGCUCAACCCUCGGAUGCCGGUGGAUACUGUCGGGCUAGAGUGCGGAAGAGGCGAGUGGAAUUCCUGGUGUAGCGGUGAAAUGCGUAGAUAUCAGGAAGAACACCCGUGGCGAAGGCGGUUCUCUGGGACGGUACUGACGCUGAGACGCGAAAGCGUGGGGAGCGAACAGG